CGGCGGACGGGUGAGUAACACGUGGGCAACCUGCCCUGUAGACGGGGAUAACACCGAGAAAUCGGUGCUAAUACCGGAUAACACGGAAUGUCGCAUGACGUUUCGUUGAAAGGCGGCGCAAGCUGUCGCUACAGGAUGGGCCCGCGGCGCAUUAGCUAGUUGGUGAGGUAACGGCUCACCAAGGCGACGAUGCGUAGCCGACCUGAGAGGGUGAUCGGCCACACUGGGACUGAGACACGGCCCAGACUCCUACGGGAGGCAGCAGUGGUCA
rnacentral:rRNA from 1 species